rnacentral:rRNA from 1 species
GUAGUCACGAGUUUGAUCCUGGCUCAGAACGAACGCUGGCGGCAUGCCUAACACAUGCAAGUCGAACGAGACCUUCGGGUCUAGUGGCGCACGGGUGCGUAACGCGUGGGAACCUGCCUUUAGGUUCGGAAUAACUCAGAGAAAUUUGAGCUAAUACCGGAUGAUGUCUUCGGACCAAAGAUUUAUCGCCUUUAGAUGGGCCCGCGUAAGAUUAGCUAGUUGGUGGGGUAAAGGCCUACCAAGGCGACGAUCCUUAGCUGGUCUGAGAGGAUGAUCAGCCACAUUGGGACUGAGACACGGCCCAAACUCCUACGGGAGGCAGCAGUGGGGAAUAUUGGACAAUGGGCGCAAGCCUGAUCCAGCCAUGCCGCGUGAGUGAUGAAGGCCCUAGGGUUGUAAAGCUCUUUCACCGGUGAAGAUAAUGACGGUAACCGGAGAAGAAGCCCCGGCUAACUUCGUG